rnacentral:rRNA from 1 species
UCCUACGGGAGGCAGCAGUGGGGAAUUUUGGACAAUGGGCGCAAGCCUGAUCCAGCCAUGCCGCGUGAGUGAAGAAGGCCUUCGGGUUGUAAAGCUCUUUCGGUGGGGAAGAAAUUGCACUUGAUAAUACCGAGUGUAGAUGACGGUACCUGAAGAAUAAGCACCGGCUAACUACGUGCCAGCAGCCGCGGUAAU